rnacentral:rRNA from 1 species
AGAGUUUGAUCCUGGCUCAGAACGAACGUUGGCGGCGUGGAUUAGGCAUGCAAGUCGAGCGGGAUUAACUUGAUUCAAUCUUUCGGGAGAGAAACUUGUUAUGAGAGCGGCGAACGGGUGAGUAAUAAAUGGGGAAUUUGCCUCUUUGUUCGGGAUAGCCAUCGGAAACGAUGAUUAAUACCGAAUGUGGUCUUCUGUCGCAUGACAGGAUGACUAAAGGUGGGGAUCCUUCGGGACCUGCCGCUUAGAGAGGAACCCGCGUCCCAUCAGCUUGUUGGUGAGGUAAUGGCUCACCAAGGCUUACGGGUAGCUGGUCUGAGAGGAUGGUCAGCCACACUGGGACUGAGACACUGCCCAGACUCCUACGGGAGGCUGCAGUCGAGGAUCAUUCGCAAUGCGCGAAAGCGUGACGAUGCGACGCUGCGUGGAGGAUGACGGCCUUAGGGUUGUAAACUCCUGUCAUUUGGGAACAAUAUCUCUAUGAUUAAUAAUCAUAGAGCUUGAUAGUACCAGAAGAGGAAGCCACGGCUAACUCUGUGCCAGCAGCCGCGGUAAUACAGAGGUGGCGAGCGUUGUUCGGAUUUACUGGGCGUAAAGGGUGCGUAGGUGGAUCUACAAGUCGGAUGUGAAAUUUCACCGCUCAACGGUGAAACUGCAUUCGAAACUGUAGGACUAGAGUGUAGGAGAGGAAAGCGGAAUUCUUAGUGUAGCGGUGAAAUGCGUUGAUAUCAAGAAGAACACCGGUGGCGAAGGCGGCUCUCUGGCCUGGUACUGACGCUGAAACACGAAAGUUGGGGGAGCGAACAGGAUUAGAUACCCUGGUAGUCUCAACCGUAAACUGUGUGCACUUGGUGUAGGAGGAUUUGACCCCUUCUGUGCCGGAGCUAACGCGUUAAGUGCACCGCCUGGGGAGUACGGCCGCAAGGCUAAAACUCAAAGAAAUUGACGGGGGCCCGCACAAGCGGAGGAGCAUGUGGCUUAAUUCGAUGCAACGCGAAGAACCUUACCAGGGCUUGACAUGGUGACCCUUCGGGGGUGGGAGCGAAAGUUCCCUUUGCAAUCACAGGUGCUGCAUGGCUGUCGUCAGUUCGUGCCGUGAGGUGUUGGGUUAAGUCCCGCAACGAACGCAACCCUUGUGUCUAAUUGCCACCGCAGGUGAUGAGCCUGCGAGCACUCUAGACAGACUGCCCGUAUACGCGGGAGGAAGGUGGGGAUGACGUCAAGUCAGUAUGGCCUUUAUGCCCUGGGCUGCACACGUGCUACAAUGGUCGGUACAAUAGGACGCAAUACCGCUAGGUGGAGCCAAUCCCUAGAGCCGGCCUCAGUUCGGAUUGGAGUCUGCAAUUCGACUCCAUGAAGUUGGAUUCGCUAGUAACGGCGUAUCAGCUACGACGCCGUGAAUACGUUCCCGGGCCUUGUACACACCGCCCGUCACAUCAUGAAAGCUUUUUGCACCCGAAGUCGCUGGUCCAACCUGAUUUUAUCGGGAGGAAGGCGCCGAAGGUGUGGGAGGUGAUUGGGAUGAAGUCGUAACAAGGUAACC